rnacentral:rRNA from 1 species
GACGAACGCUGGCGGCGUGCUUAACACAUGCAAGUCGAACGGAGUGUCGACCGGGGGGGUACCACGUGGGUGAUCUCCCUUCCACUUCGGGAUAAGCUGGGGAAACUGGUCCUAUAACCGGAUAGUGCAAGAUGAGCUCGGGGCCUUGCAGCUUGGUGGUGGGGUAAGGGCCUACCAAGGCGUCGACGGGUAGCCGGCCUGGGAGGGUGUACGGCCACAGUGGGACUGAGAUACGGCCCAGACGCCUACGGGAGGCAGCAGUGGGGAAUAUUGCACAAUGGGCGGAAGCCUGAUGCAGCGACGCCGCGUGGGGGAUGAAGGCCUUCGGGUUGUAAACUCCUUUCGACAGGGACGCGGUACCUGUAUAAGAAGCACCGGCUAACUACGUGCCAGCAGCCGCGGUAAUUC